CGGAUCCGCGCCGCUGCAGAGUUUGAUCCUGGCUCAGGAUGAACGCUGGCGGCGUGCCUAACACAUGCAAGUCGAACGGAGUUACGAGAGCUUGCUUUUGUAACUUAGUGGCGGACGGGUGAGUAAUGUACGAGCAACCUGCCUUUCAGAGGGGGACAACAGUUGGAAACGACUGCUAAUACCGCAUAAUGUAUUUUGGAGGCAUCUCCGGGAUACCAAAGGAGCAAUCCGCUGAAAGAUGGGCUCAUAUCUGAUUAGCUAGUUGGUGGGGUAACGGCCUACCAAGGCUGCGAUCAGUAGCCGGACUGAGAGGUUGAACGGCCACAUUGGGACUGAGAUACGGCCCAGACUCCUACGGGAGGCAGCAGUGGGGAAUAUUGGGCAAUGGGCGAAAGCCUGACCCAGCAACGCCGCGUGAAGGAAGAAGGUCUUCGGAUUGUAAACUUCUUUUAUGAGGGACGAAGGACGUGACGGUACCUCAUGAAUAAGCCACGGCUAACUACGUGCCAGCAGCCGCGGUAAUACGUAGGUGGCAAGCGUUAUCCGGAUUUACUGGGUGUAAAGGGCGCGUAGGCGGGGAUGCAAGUCAGAUGUGAAAUCUAUGGGCUUAACUCAUAAACUGCAUUUGAAACUGUAUCUCUUGAGUGCUGGAGAGGUAGACGGAAUUCCUUGUGUAGCGGUGAAAUGCGUAGAUAUAARGAAGAACACCAGUGGCGAAGGCGGUCUACUGGACAGUAACUGACGCUGAGGCGCGAAAGCGUGGGGAGCAAACAGGAUUAGAUACCCUGGUAGUCCACGCUGUAAACGAUGAAUACUAGGUGUGGGGGGACUGACCC
rnacentral:rRNA from 1 species